UAUAGAGGUCAAGUGAAAAUUCAGAAGCGCAUUUUCAUAAAGGAGAAAAUGCAAGGAAAUUAAAAAAAAAUGUAGUGAAACUAAAAAAAAUUUUAUUUGUAGCGAGAGUAAUUCAAAAUAUCAUUUUGCGUGUGUGUGUGUGUGUGUGUGUUUGUAUGUGAGAUUUAAUACUCUUAGUUUAAGGAUUUGCAAAUAAAUAGAUUGUGUAGAAAGAAAAAUAAGCUUGUUUUAAAAUAAUGCUUUGUUUUAAUAUUGCAAAAAAUAAAAUAUUUGAAAACAAGUUUUAAAAGUACUGCUGUUGAAAGACAUUCAUUGCAAAUGUGCAAUUAAAGUAAAAAAAAAAUCGAAAAUUGUAUUUCAAAGAAAUACUUAUCCUUAAUUAAGAUGUCGAAUUCCAACAUAGUCAAGUAAGUCGAAAAAGAAUUUUUCACAGUUUCAAUAUUCUGCAAAAUUUUUCGACUCUAUAUAUGUCAAGCUAUGCUAGAACAUUUACGUAAGUGCUGACUUCGCUGUUAAUUCCUCAGACAGCUGACUACCUUGACUGAUAUGAUCGAUGAACACGAUGAAAGAAAGCUCAUGAAUAUGGCAAAGAGAAUUAUCGAGAAACGAUUUUAAUAUUCCAAUAACAUUAUUCCGCCACAAAUUUCAUCAAUCGAUACUGAUUGGACCAUAACGUAUUCAAUAUAUCGUUUUCUUCAUAUCGUAAUGUUUUUUAAUUGUUUUAAUGAUAUUUUGUCAUUGUCAUAUUUUAAUUAAACAAAAUAAAUGUAUCCGUAGAUUAAUUCACACACAACACAUUUAUCAAUUUUCAUUUCCUAGUAUUAAUCAUCUUUCUAAAAUUUCAUAUGCACUUCCUGAUAUCACGAUUCCAAAUUUUUAAUUCGUGUAAACACAGAGGAAAAUGUUUGGGAUAAACAUUUCUUUUUAUUAGAUAAAAAUGAGUAACCGCAUUUUUGUUCGGAUGAAUACUGGGAUGAGUUUUCAGUCUGUUCCUAUAACUUUAUAGAUUUCAUAAGUAGAUUACAUACGCUAUUUGUGAUAUCCUGCGAUCAAUAGACAGAAUAAACAUGGCCUCGACGGAGACCGGAAAAUUCAGGCUAUAAUCUAUCUGUGCUGAAGACAAUAAGAGUUUUGUAACGUUCUACUUUUUCCUUGGUGUAAAUUUAUCGAAUUUAUUGUGAAAUACGCGAAGAGAAUGCGCGAUAAUUUAUUGACAUCCGCUCGGUUGUUCAUCUGAUAUAAAAACGUUAUUGCAUCUAUAAUUGGUUUCGUGUGUUCAGUGAUUUUAUUUAUAGAUAAAAUGAUGCACGUUCAAUAUUUACAUGUACUUUAGCUUAUGCUGUCAGAAGCUUAAAAAGAAGGAAAAUGCCGAUAGCAAAAUUACAUCUCAAUCAUGAUCCGUUAAUGCUUUUUUAAUGAACAUAUUUUUCAUAAUACAAACAAUUUUUUUGAUAAAACAAUUAAAAAUACUAUUAACUUUCAUAUUAUACAUAACAUAUAUGUAUAUUUCUUCAAAGCUUUUGUUCUAACGUUUAUGUUUUUUUAAUGCUUAUGUUAGUUACGUUAAAUGCUAAAGGUUAUGCCAACUAAAAAUAUUACAUUAUUUGAAAAUAAAGACAUUUCUAUUUAAAAAAUUUAAUUUAGUAAUGUAUAAAUUAAUUUAUAUAUGUAUACAAUUAUCAUAAUCUCUUUUUCCCGAAAAAACUUUUGAAGAUAUCCAAUAAUAAAACUGUGAUAAAAUUUAAAAGAAUAGCAAAAUAAGAAUUUGCACAUAUUCAAAAAAAUAUUUGUCAAAUAUUUUUUUGGAAUUAUUCAUCAUGUACUACAGAAUAAACAAACGAUCGAUGUCGAUAGUUCACACAACGUAAAUAUACAUUCUCCCUAGUAUACGUGUAUGUACGUGUGAAUAUUAAAUUUUAAGGCUAUAGUAUCCAUGCGUAGCGUAUAAUAGUAAUCGUUUUUCGGUAAUUCGUAUGCGGAAUUCGUCCGCGAACGCGUUUGCCAUGCGGGUUGCCGAUUUGCAUAGAACGGAUAUUCGCGAGCGUUCGUGCUCGGGGGCGCCGAAUUUGCAAAUCUCUCCACGCGCGCCGAACUUCAGAUCCGAAAGGAGCUUUUUGCUCUGUCAAUUCCACAGGUUACCUCUCGCAAGUUUCGUAGAGUUUCAUAGUCGGUGUCGUUCGACGAUCGAUACUUCAAGGGGGAGACAAAUGGAACGUAUAGAUGAACAUGCGAGCCCGCGUGUGGAGAAAAGCUACUGUUCUUUGCUCGCAGGAACGCGAAGAAAUCAGUAUUCGUGGAGGCAUUUACAAUGGAAUUUCGGUAUCGCGGUAGGAGACACGUUUAUUUCUCUGAAUUCUUUAAAUCGCCGAGACGUCAACGUGUUCACGUAGAAUUCGCGCGAUGACUGAUCAGGUUGUCUCGCGAGAUAUCCUAAGAAUGCAAAUCAAGAGCGAACUUUACGCCUGUGUGUCGCGUGCAUAUUGUCACAAAUAUCGACAAGUACUUUGAUCCGCGUCAAUCGUUUAUGGCAAGCAGCAACAACAAGAGGGUAAAUAUCAAAGUUCAAGGGGAGAUCGGGGAGCAAGGAUAAAGUACCGUUAAGAGAUCUUAGUGCCUCCCCACGAGAAAAGCUGCGGGGCAGAUGAAUAAAGGCGAAAGGGGACAAAUGAUGGAUAGAGCCAAGCUACAGGCACGUCUAUCGAGUCAAUGCAUGGCAACCACUAGACGAACAAUGAGUCCUAAAUACCGCCGACUCUACCUCGACGUUGAUCACUAGUCGUCCAUGUCCCUUUCUCCUCUUUCCCCUUUCCCCGUUCCCCGAUAUUUUCCGCUGACAAUUCCGCAGUUUGCGACGGUUUGAGGUAAAUCGUUUCUUCAAUAACGAUUCGAUACGAUGGCGAUUUGAGAGCACUGAUACGCAAUGCACAGAAAAAUAUUAUUCCACAUAGAGUACACGUAUAUUUUUAAAGAACUUCGGAUAUCUCUCCAGAAUAGACCCAGGAUGUUGCAUUAGAGAACCGACACGGUUAAAAGAAUAGCAAGCAUCAAGAAUUAUUUUGUUAAUGUAAAUUGCGGUAACAUCAACGUUUAUUCAAAAUAGAAGCAUCAACGUUUUACUUUUGCACUGAAUUUUACUAUAUGCGGUUUCUCUGCUCAUCAAAGUAGUUACACUCUCUGAGCGAGCAAACAUGUGAAUCUCUCGUUAUUUUGUUAGACUAAUUAUAGAUGUGCUUUGCACAGCUCUCUGUGAGGAAUGUUGAUUAAUGCGACCAUAUCUGUUUGAGAUUCAGUAGCAAAUUGUUCUGAUUAAAACGUGUCUCUGCCUUCUACCCGUUUCGGUGUGCUUGAGCACUGAAAGUUAUCGAUAAGAAGUCCCCUUACCCAGUUGCUGUAUAAUUAAACAUGGCAUACGACGACAAAACAUCUUCUUUUGUUUCAUUAGGUAUAUUAACUGUGAAAUGGAAUCGGGAACAGAGUGAUGGAAGAUAGCAAAGUGAAUCGACUAAUAUUGCCCCAAAACGUAUUCAACGAUGUAUACCUUGUUUCGUGGAUGUGGCAGUCGGCAUCGAUGUGAGCUGCGACGAGAUGCCGGCUCUAUCAG